GGGCAUGACUUUGCAACUAAACAAAUAAAACCUUCCACCAAGCAGCUUCAUGGGAUGACCCCGGGUUCAAGUGUUAUGGGAGAUGGAGAAAAAUAUCUCCCUCUCCAUUUUCUCCUUAGUCUAUUUCUGAAUAACAUGAUAUAUUUCAGUCUAUUUCCUCCAUAGACUUGCUCCAGAUCUGUUCUGCUGCAGCAAAGCUUCUCCUCUGGUUCCCAUAUGAAUCUUCAAUGAUAUUGCAUCAUUUCAAAACAUGCAGAUUCAGUGGGAAAAAGUCCUUGGAAAAGCAGUAUUGUAAAUACCUAAAAUUCAGAAAUAAAGAAUGCCACAAUUAUUUUUACUGACAAUUCUGAAGCACAAAGGGCUCCCUCAUAGAAAGCUAGGAUGCAACCGCACUUGGCAGUCUGUGUACCGUUUUGCUCAUUACACCUAAAAAAAAUAACCAGCAUCCCUUAUUGUUAGCAUUUUUGCCACAUCAUUCAGGGAGGCUGAAGCAAUUAUUCAUGUGUUACUAUAUCAUAUAUAUUAUAAAGAUUCUUAUCUUAUUCCUAUUAAAAAAACAUUCCAGGCAGAACUGACACAUUUGCUUUCUUUGUCAGGUGUGUGGAACAUUCUGGCCUGUAAUAUUAGGGAACAGAUGGUAAAUUCACUUCAUCAUUUGAAAUCAGAUUGGUAUGUUAGAAUUGCAAAUUGAAUUGUGUUGUAUUGUGCAGCUUUUCCCUCUUUGGGUAAAUGGAUGUCUGAAAUGCCAGUAUUUAAAAGGCUGGGGGAUCAGCAUAAAUGAUAAAGACAGAUAGCCAUAGGAGAGGAAACUCUGUAAAAUGUCCUUGGAUUACAAAGGGCAGUCCAGCAUACGGGAAGUGUAGGGUGGAAAAAUUCCAGGGAAAUAUACUCUGUAAACCCAUGUAGUUAAUCAUUAAGAUAUAUCAAGAAAAUUUAGUUUGGAAAUAGGUUUGACACAGAAAAAAAGAGGGAGACAAGAUAAAGUGACAAAAGCAAAAUAAAGCAUUAAGGACACGAUCCUGUGUGUGUUUAGGCAGGAAAAGGGUUGACAACUGGCAACUACACCAGCCAUUUUAGAGAGUGCUGAGAGAUGUAAACUUUUCCUCUGACUAAGCAUGCAUAGGAUUGUGUCCUCAGUCGAUCUAAUUUAGGAUGCAGUCCUAUCACCCCUGCAGCAGAUGCUUGUAAGCCUCUGAACUUUGCAGGCAAGGGACCAAGUCCACCACCUCCGUGGCCACGCCUCUGCCAUCUGCAGCCUUCCAGAUGUAGUGCCAGGAAGGGAGAGGCAGGGAGGCCGGGCUGCUGACUGGAGCUGGUGCCAUUCUGCAGCCCCAGCCCCCUUUCCCUCCUCACCCCACACACACCACCUCUGAGACCCAGCUGAGAAAUUGGAGGAGGACAGCCUGAGCAAGACUUUCCUCAACAGCUUCAAGGAUGCAGGGAUUGCUGGAAAGCAGAAGUUUAAUUACUGAAGAUUGGAAUAAAAACCCCCCUCUGACUCCUGGUGUUCUCUCAGUGGGGGUCGCCUAUGAAGCCAGUGUUGUUGCACGGCUGGCUCCAAAGGAGAGAAAUGUUUUUGCGGGGUCAGCUUCCAAGUCAUCAUGGGUGUUUACAGUUUCAAUAGCAGUUUGGAUUGCUAUAGUAACCCUUAAAGGCACAUUCCUCCAAAAUACCAGAUUGGAAGGAAAAUAAAUCUUUACAAUUCUCCCCGUACCACCACAGCCAUGGAUAUUGUCACAGAGAGGGCAAGCUGGAUUCAGUUUUUGCUUGUUUGUUUAGAACUCCCCUGGGGAAAACAAGUAUCUUGCUUAAAUACUAUGGUAUCCCCCAACCUGGAGCCCUUCAGAUGGUUUGGACUACAGCUCCCAUCAUCCACAGCAGCACAUCCAUUUUCUACACUGUUAAGUAACAGAAGUCAAUAGGACUUGAACAGGUCUCUGUGUUAAGAAAUUUAACUUCAGUAAAAGGGCUCAUCCAACAAAAGCAAUUUAGCACUACUAAUCCAAAGGCAUUGUACAGCACUGCUGUAUUUUUCUCCUUGAAGGUGGUGUCUUGGUUUGUUUUAUAUUUUUGGGUUUUUUGAUGGGAUGUGGUAAGGAAAAAUACUGAAGAAAGAAUGGGAAAGCAUGGGAGGGUAACAAGUAGACAGGAAGAUGAGAUCUUUCCUUUUGAAGUAAAGUGAUUGCACCAUAAAAUCUGCAUCUGGAAGCACCCUAAGAAAGGCUGAAAGGAAUGCCUAAAAAUGUUUAUUGCCAAGUAUGGGAGUGGUGGAGUAUGAGAGAGAGGGAUAAGGUGGCUGUAAGCACAGUAGUUAACUUCCUUCAAUGCCAAGAAAGAUAGGGACCACAUCAUUUCAUCUGUAUGCUUGCCAUAUUUACUGCCAUGCUUUGCAAUGUUGAGAAAGCUCUAUCCGACCCCCAGCCAAUACUUCAUCUCAGAUAAGAUUAAGAUUAAUUAGGGUACAACACACCCCUAAUAAUGGAAGCAUCAGCCUCAUUAAAACCAGUUAGCCUUUCACAUUUGUCCACAUUUAUCAGCAUAUCCAAAUCUGAACUUGGAGAAUUAACUCAAUAAAUGUAUUCUUACCACAUGAAACACACAGAGAGUGUGGGUGGAGAGAAAGAGAGACUUGCAUUUUAAAGGUAGAGUUGCACAAUGAAAGUUACUAAUGCAUGAAGAGUUUAGGAUAAUAUUACUGGAAUUAUUUUAUGACUGUAACGUAGUUCCCUAACAUUAGGCAGCAUUGAGCUGAUUUUGAAGCCCACGCAAAACGAUUGGCAUACUUUGUGGUUAGGUCUCAUGUUCAUUAUGUUAGUCAUUGCAUUUUUUAUAAUCCUCACAGUCCCUUAUCUCAGUGACUGGGUUCAGACAACAUAAUAACCCACAGUCAAAGGUGUACAGGUUGAAUGUGAGUUGUUGAAAUGUGGCUCAUUGUAUUGUCUGAACCCAGUUAAGCUAACAAGCCAUGGCCUGGUUGAUCAGUACCAGCUUAUGAAAAGAAUCUUUAGUUUGCUGUUAGGUUGGGAAGUACAGGUACCAUGGUUUAUUAUUUCAGUUGGGUUCAGACAACACAAUAACCCAUGUUUCGAGAAUAACCGCAGUUCAGUAACAAUCCACAUUCAGUCUUGGAGUAUUGUCCUGGGGAUUGUCUGAGCUCCAUCAAUGUCCUCAGGGUUUCUGAUAUUUUCUUUGGAGGAGAUCCUCCAGAGCAGAUUUUGAGAGUACAAAGGCAGACAUCCUGUUCUGCAAGUGGUAGUCUCUACAUUUAAUAUCAUACUAGAUCCAUCCCAUUGUGUUUAGAAGGCUGGAGAUGAACAACAGAUGGUGGAAGUAACACAGAGAUCAAGGCAGGUAGGCUAUCUGCUUGACGAAGGUUACUUGCUACAUUGGAGAAGUAGUAAAUAUGCAUGAGGGGAAAUUCUAGAUGUUCAAACACAUUUAAUAAAGUAUUAUUGCGUUAACUGGCAUCUUCCAAUCACAUUCUGUAUUGGCCUACCACCUUAUCUUUCUAUGACAUUGCCACAAAGUGCCUAAUCCAAAACUUUCCCAAAUUUCAGCCUCCUGGCUUUUACUUUCCUGUCUCCCCUUCAAACCAAAACAUUCCCAGGGCAUAUAAAAGUUUUAUAGGAUACUUUUAUGCCUCAAGCAAUAGGUUCAAACAAGCAAACAAAAGAAGGUUCAGUACAGAUCAUCUUGGUUCCCUUUUAGUGGUAAUAUUCUUAGCAAAAACUUUCCAAAAUAGAACCAAAACUAAGGGAAUGUUUGCUAUAUAUUAAGUAAAUAGGCCAAAAUAUUGUUAUGCUGAGAAAAGUUGAAUGAACCAAGCAUGGUUAUGUAGAUUUUCUUGUUCUGCAUAGCCUCAGGAAGUAUCAAACCCUAACCCAAACAUGUACUCUCCAAAAGCUGAAAACUAUUCUUAACAUUGAUUGAAACCUCCUGGGGGAAAUUUCAGCUGGUACAAAAACAUUUAAUAUGCAGCAUUUCUCUUGCUUGAAGCUCUUUCUUCUGGGGUCAAAAAUCACCCCAAAUAAUACUAGUGCUAGCUUUUUGUAAUGCAGGGUGAGGUUUAUGACUUGAGAACCCAAAACUAAGGUAAUCCAGUUUGAAUUUUUGGAAGUGUUAGCCACAGAAGAAUAAACAGAACUUCACUGGUUAAAAAGUGAAUCUAUGGAAGAAGGCAAAGCUUAUGACCUCAAAUGAUGGCCUAAAAAAUUUCAUGAUCACUAUUGCAUUGACCAGAUGAGCUACAGCCUGAAGCGCUGGUUUUCAGUUUAUAUUCAGGCACGCAGCACAAAUCUCUAGAUGUGAGGUCAGGAGUGUUAUUUAUAAAUGCAGGAGGGCAGCACCCCUCCCCUUAGGAGCAGUAUUGCAUAACAAUAUCUGGCAGCCACAAUUUUGCUUUUCCCAAAAUGCCCUAGAGGUUGCAUUGGUCUGAUUCCCCAUGGAUUAGAUCAAUGUUUUCACUUGAUAUAUACCUUCCUCCUGUAUUCACUAUAAUUGAAAUCUGGAACAGCCAUCUCUAAGAGCAAAAAGAUUAUUUAUACCACAUCAUUAAGGAGAAGCAGGAGGAAGCGG